CAAUCUGUGGGAGAUGGAGCCCCAACUCAAUCUUAGGGCGCCAAAGAUGAGCAACAAUGGGCCUAAUUUGGGUCAUCACAAACAAGACAAGACUUUGAAAGUUCCAACAGAGUCAAAUGAGGCACCAGCUGAGCGUCCCACAGAGCAGCCAACGUCUGGCAUUAAUUUGAGGAAGCAAGUUGAACCCUCACAGACUCAACACAAUCUAAGAGUUAAAAAUGUUGUCGAAGCUCAACAGCCACUAUCUCCUGCUAGUUAUUGUGGCUCAAUGGAGAUGCCUCCUUAUAGACCUGGAACCAGCCCAAAUACUUCUUUUGUCUCUAAGGGAAAAGUUGGAGAGUCGAGUCACAGCCUAAAAACUUCCACAGAGUUACUCAAAGUACUCAAUAGAAUCUGGAGCCUUGAAGAAAAGCAUGCAUUAGAUAUGUCGUUAGUGAAAACCCUGAAGAAGGAAUUGGAUGAGUCCCAGAAACGAAUUCAAGAACUACUGCAGGCAAAAAAAAGAGAUCAAAGUGAAAUUGAUAGUUUAUUGAAGCAAAUAACAGAGUAUAAAGUUGCAAGGAAAAAGGAGAGGGAUCGAGUCAAAGAUGCGGUUAAGUUAGUGGAAGACAAGCUAGAAGAUGAGCUGAAAUUGAGAAGAAAUUCGGAAAAGCUCCAUCACAAGCUAGCUAAGGAGCUUUCGGAGAUAAAAUCUUCAUUCUCCAAUGCUUUUAGAGAUCUUGAACGGGAGAGGAAGGCACGGACUUUGCUAGAAGACUUGUGUGAUGAGUUUGCGAAAGGAAUAAGAGAUUAUGAACAAGAAGUACGGUUCAUGAAGCAAAAAUUUUCCAAAGGUCAGAUUGGACAGGAAGGCAAUGAUCGGUUGAUCCUUCAUAUUUCUGAAGCCUGGUUAGAUGAGCGAAAGCAGAUGAAGCUAGCAGAUGCUCGUGAUGUUUCAGAAAAGCAAUCAGCUUUGGACAAGUUAUGUUUUGAAGUUGAAUCCUUUCUUCAAGCAAAACUAUCUGGCAAUUCUGCGAAAGAUGAUUACAUCUCCUCAAGAAGUCCACUCAAGCGUAAGGUACCUGCAAAUUCUUUCGAAUCGCUUCACUUGAACGAGCCUGCAAGUGCUCCAUGGAAUAGGAAUGAUGAAGAUGAAUCUAUCAGUACUAGUAAUCGUUGUUCACAACGUAAAGUGUCGAGCUUGAAGCAAGCAGAUAUUUCAGAUAGCCAUGUCAAAGAAACAGCCAAACCAAAGCCAGUGAAGAAAAAAGUACAGUCAAGAAAGGUUUCUGAUCCAUCUAGCUCACACGUGCAGUUAGAAGAGCCCCUCAUUGAGAGAGAGCACCAGCCCAUGAAUGUGGAGGAAUCAACAAAAUCAAGAAUGGGAAAAUUGUACGAAAUGAGUAAUCCAAGGAUGCCUGAAAAGGGCGAGAUGAUGCAAAGAUCUUCACGGGAAGGAAAGAGCAAAAUAACUGAGAUUGAUGCUGGGUUGCAAGAUGCAACAACCAGAAAUCCUCCUCCAACAUCAGAGGAUAAGUAUGAGAAUAGUUGCAUUGAAGGUUUUUUUGAUCCAUCCACUUUUGCUGGCCCUCCCAGUCCGGUAAAGAAGUGGACAUGGACGUCUGAGGUAUCAGCAGCUGAUCCUGAUAUCUGCGAGUCGUCUUCAAGAUGGCCAAAAAUCAUAAAAUCCAAUACUUUGAAGAUGAAGUUGAUGGAAGCAAGGAUAGAAGGGCAGCAAUCUCGUGCCAGAACAUCCAAAGGUUCGUCGAAAGUCGACUAAAACCUGUAACUCGAGAUAUGCAACUCAGACAGAGGUGAUAUCAGCAGGAUGCUUUUCUAUUUAUGGAAAUGCUAUCAAGAAAAUGUUGCUAGCAUUUUUGCUGAUGCAUGUUUUUUGGUACGCAUGGGAAUUGGGUUCGAGCUUUCUGAAGUUGACUUGAAUUCAUUUCCACUACGACGUCGUGCGCAAGAACGUGUUCUUCUCUCACAGUAUACAGAGAGGUAGGCUAGUAGAGGGAGGUGCUAUGGCG